AUUCUUUGGUAAUUUCUAAGUGUGAUGAUUGGGCUUUCACACUCAAACCUGAGUGAACCUUUUUACAACAACAGCACAUUACCAGUCUGAUG
ensembl:snoRNA